ensembl:misc_RNA Metazoa_SRP Metazoan signal recognition particle RNA
GCCAGGCACGGUAGUCCCAGCUACUCGGGAGGCUGAGGCUGGAGGAUCGCUUGAGUCCAGGAGUUCUGGGCUGUCGUGUGCUAUGCUGAUCGGGUGUCCGUACUAAGUUCAGCAUCAAUCUGACCUCCCUGGAGUGUGGGACCACCAGGUUGCCUAAGGAGGGGUAAACCGGCCCAGGUCGGAAACAGAGCAGGUCAGAACUCCCGUGCUGAUCAGUAGUGGGAACGUGCCUGUGAAUAGCCAUGCACUCCAGCCUGGGCAACAGAGAGACCCUGUCUCUU